ACGGAGGGUGCAAGCGUUGUUCGGAAUUACUGGGCGUAAAGGGCGCGUAGGUGGCUAAUUAAGUCAGGUGUGAAAUCCUUCCGCUUAACGGGAGAAGUGCACUUGAAACUGCUUAGCUAGAGUACGGGAGAGGAAGGUGGAAUUCCUGGUGUGGCGGUGUGAUUCAGAGAGAUCGGGGAGGAGGCGGGUGGGGGAGGCGGGCUAAUGGGCCGUGACUGACGCUGAGGCGCGGAAGCGUGGGGAGAAAGGAG
rnacentral:rRNA from 1 species